UGGAUUAUGCUUCUGCAACUUUUUGUCAGCCUUUUGAAUUUGUUAUUACUAAUAUGGAGUAUUGGGAAGAUAAAAGAUGGAGCUAGUAUCAUUAAGUUGAUAUGCUCUGCUUCUGAUGCUGCUGUGAUUUUGAAUUCCAGUACCAGGGUAGAGAAAGAUGUCUCAGAGACAGCUUUCCAUGCCACAAAUGGUUAUUAUCCGUCGC
rnacentral:misc_RNA from 1 species